AGUCGAACGGUAACAGGAAACAGCUUGCUGUUUCGCUGACGAGUGGCGGACGGGUGAGUAAUGUCUGGGAAACUGCCUGAUGGAGGGGGAUAACUACUGGAAACGGUAGCUAAUACCGCAUAACGUCGCAAGACCAAAGAGGGGGACCUUCGGGCCUCUUGCCAUCGGAUGUGCCCAGAUGGGAUUAGCUUGUUGGUGGGGUAACGGCUCACCAAGGCGACGAUCCCUAGCUGGUCUGAGAGGAUGACCAGCCACACUGGAACUGAGACACGGUCCAGACUCCUACGGGAGGCAGCAGUGGGGAAUAUUGCACAAUGGGCGCAAGCCUGAUGCAGCCAUGCCGCGUGUAUGAAGAAGGCCUUCGGGUUGUAAAGUACUUUCAGCGGGGAGGAAGGGAGUAAAGUUAAUACCUUUGCUCAUUGACGUUACCCGCAGAAGAAGCACCGGCUAACUCCGUGCCAGCAGCCGCGGUAAUACGGAGGGUGCAAGCGUUAAUCGGAAUUACUGGGCGUAAAGCGCACGCAGGCGGUUUGUUAAGUCAGAUGUGAAAUCCCCGGGCUCAACCUGGGAACUGCAUCUGAUACUGGCAAGCUUGAGUCUCGUAGAGGGGGGUAGAAUUCCAGGUGUAGCGGUGAAAUGCGUAGAGAUCUGGAGGAAUACCGGUGGCGAAGGCGGCCCC
rnacentral:rRNA from 1 species